AGGAAAAGUGCUAGUAUUAGUUGGUUAAGUGCUGGCGAAAAAGAUGAGUCUUUAGAUGUUUCUUGAAAAUGAGUAAAGACUCAAGAGGUCAUUCCACAGGCUGGGCGCAAUUUUUGUCUCUAUGUUUUUCUGUGACCCUGCUGCUCCAAUGAACAUUUCUUAACCAGUGGCCACACCAUAAUUUUUUAUGGUACAGUGAUAGAUCAUCUUAAAUAUUAGAAGAGAAUUCAGUCUUAUGAAUUCAGAUUAUUGAGGUGGUUUAUUGCAGAGUAUUGCAGCAUGGUUACAGAAAUGUUACUGGAAUUUUAAUGUUAGAAGAACGUUAGGGGAUUAUUCUCCUUAUGCAGUUGCUCCAUAUCAAAGGGGGCACAUUAUUACCUUUUAAAAGGGUGACAGCUUUUGCAAAUUUUUUCCUGAGGGUUUAUUUUAUCUGCUCUUAUACAGGUUUGCAUUUUAUGGCAGAUAUUUCUAGGUAAUUUCCAGUAUAGGUAUAUCUAUUAAAAAAGGACUGUUUAUCUUAGAUAUUUGUGGCUCUUAGGCUCUCUUGUAUCUCUUUGGUUAUAUUAUCACUGUUACGCCAACAGUCUACAUGUCUGUCUCUGGACUAUAGUUAUCUCCCCUUUAUACUUGUUUGCAUUUUACUGGUAGAAAAUAUUUCUAGGUAAUUUUCAGGUAGCUAUAUCUACCUAGAAUAUUGUGUAUAGCAUUUGUAUAAUAUAUGGGCGGUCUUAAAAUCACAGCUAUAUUAAGACGAUUCAUCUUGGUUUACCAUCCUCGGUGCUCCAACCUUGGUCUUGAAUACCCAGCUGAAGAUUUGCAUUGAGACUGCAGAAAAGAAAGAACUGGCAGAAUGGCAGAUUCUCCGAUUUUUCACAAACCAACACAGUCCGCAAUUACUCAAGGGAUUACAAUCACAGGGGGCUUGAAGGAAGGGAAGACUAUUGUCAUAAUUGGACGGAUUUUGUCAAAUGCUCACAAAUCAUAUAUCAGCCUUAAGGAUGGUACUCAUCCCUCUGCUAAAACUGCUCUGUGCAUUAGCCCACACUUUGAGGAUGAUCACCCACAUAUACUGUACAAGACCUUCCAAAACGAUAGCUGGGACUCAGAUCAACCCACUUCUAAGUCUCCUCUCCUCCAAGGCCAACUGUUCACCAUCAAGAUCCUUGUCACCGCACAGGCAUAUAAGAUAAGUGCCAACGGGGAAGAAUUAAUGGUCUAUAAUCACCGUAUGCCAUUCACUCAAAUGAACAUCAUCUCAGUGGAGGGAAUGGAGCUGGAUUUCUUUGGCCAUCUUUUGGUGGCAUCGUACAAAAAAGAACUGAUCAAUGGAUUAAAGCUUGAGACAGUCAUUGUUAUUCAUUGAACUGUUAACUCUGACUGUAAAAGGAUUGAGAUUAAUCUGCGCCACAGGUAUGGGAUUGCAUUUCACUACCUGUGCCGUUUUGAGGAGAAUGCAGUUGUUCGCAAUACCUGGAAGAACGGGCAGUGGGAGGAAGAAGAAAAGAGUCAAGACAUCCCUUUUAAAAAUGGAGAGUUCUUUGAGAUGAAAAUCACCUGCAAAGCAGAGCAGUAUGAUGUGUCAGUAAACGGCCAGCAAGCACACACUUACAAGCAUCGCUUUACUAAUCUGGAUGACAUCGAUGUUGUUGAAGUUUGUGGAGGUCUACAGUUGUUUUCUGUGGAAGUCAAGGAUCCAUAGGAAGUGCGUAUUUAAAACUUCCACAAAUAAGUUCAUAUGCUUAAAACAUUUUUUUGUUGUUAAUGGCUUUGAAAUAUUAAACUGCUGGUGAUAACAUAUAAUUUUUUUCUGCCACUAUUUUAACUAUUGUAAAAUGUUAGGUGACACAUGCAAUGUCUCAGCUUCCAGACAGAUAUCACUAAAAUAGGUGUCCUAGGAAAUCCUGACUAUGUUUGCAAUAGAAUGCUACCACACACCUUGUAUCACAGCACUCUGUUCUGUAUGCAUAAAAUAACCUUUGUCAAACUGAGCAGUGACCUAUACAACAUAUAGUAUUGUAUGGAAUGCUGUAUCUCAUAAUGCAUGCAACUGAACCUUUUAAAACAUUUCAGUUUAAUAAAUACUAUAUUAGGAGUAAUGUGUAGCUAAUGUUUCAAUGACUA